CUUUGUUUGCCAUUAGUGAAUUUCUUUCUCAGUAUGAAUUAUCAUCUGGCUCUGCUUUGCUUCUUUUAGGUGACCGAAACAAGGACGGGCCCACUUGGAUGCAGUAACUAUGACAACCUCGACUCUGUCAGCUCUGUUUUGGUUCAGAGCCCUGAAAACAAGAUUCAUUUGCAAGGCCUCCAGGCCAUACUGCCAGAAUAUCUGAGAGCCAGGUUUGUGCAGGCUGCUCUAAGUUAUAUUGGCUGUAAUGAAGAGGGCCAGUUUGUGUGCCGGGACAACGACUGUUGGUGCCAGUGUGCUGUCGACUAUCCGCAAUGUAAUUGCCCUGAGGUUGAUCUGAGGGCUAUGGAAGGCAGUUUACUGCAAAUCAGAGAUUCAUGGAACAUGGCCAACCAAGACUUUGAGGCAUCAGAAGAGUUUCAAAAUUUUGUUCGACGGCUUCCCACAUUCUACGCCCUGAACUCGUCUGCCAUCCAGUAUUUCUGGAAGACGGAGCCGUCCAUUCACCAGCGCUACAAACAGCUAGAGCUCGGCACACAGCAGCUUGCAAGCAAAGCACGGCGCAUCAUCAACAAGAUCUUCACCCUCAGCAAGAGAUGUCAAACUCAGCCAAAAAUUAUUAUGCUACGGGAAAGGUGAGAAACUGAGAAGUUUUUCUGAUGACCUUUUUUUUUUAUUUUUUAUUUUUACACAGAAGUGGAUGUAUGCGUUUGUGGAACACAUUUAAUUUUUCCAUUCACCGAUUUGUGCAGUGCUUUUUUAUCAGACGAACGAGGCAUCGCAUAGUAUGGACACACAAUGAAUGAAUUCUUUGACAUUAAGCUGAGCUCCUGCUGAACUAAGCUGCAGUCACACCUGAUCUCUUGGCUGCAUUUCCCAUCCAUAUCUUCUUUACUUUCACAAAAUCAGAACUAUCCUUCUGUGAAAUUAAAGUUUGCUGUAUUUUAAAGAAUGUUACAUUUCUGAAAUGAUAAAAAUAAGGGAUUUGCCUAAACAUAAAUGAAGCAUAGGAUUGUUUUGU